rnacentral:rRNA from 1 species
GACAGCAGCCGCCGCGGUAAUACGUAUGUCACAAGCGUUAUCCGGAUUUAUUGGGCGUAAAGCGCGUCUAGGUGGUUAUGUAAGUCUGAUGUGAAAAUGCAGGGCUCAACUCUGUAUUGCGUUGGAAACUGUGUAACUAGAGUACUGGAGAGGUAAGCGGAACUACAAGUGUAGAGGUGAAAUUCGUAGAUAUUUGUAGGAAUGCCGAUGGGGAAGCCAGCUUACUGGACAGAUACUGACGCUAAAGCGCGAAAGCGUGGGUAGCAAACAGGAUUAGAUACCCCUGUAGUCCCUGUCUCUUAUACA